GGUUAAGCGACUAAGCGUACACGGUGGAUGCCCUGGCAGUCAGAGGCGAUGAAGGACGUGCUAAUCUGCGAAAAGCGCCGGCGAGGUGAUAUGAACCCUUGACCCGGCGAUGUCCGAAUGGGGAAACCCAGUGUGUUUCGACACACUAUCGUUAACUGAAUACAUAGGUUAACGAGGCGAACCGGGGGAACUGAAACAUCUAAGUACCCCGAGGAAAAGAAAUCAACCGAGAUUCCCCCAGUAGCGGCGAGCGAACGGGGAGCAGCCCGGAGUCUGAAUCAGCUUGUGUGUUAGUGGAACGGUCUGGAAAGUCCGACGGUACAGGGUGAUAGUCCCGUACACGAAAACACACUUGCUGUGAACUCGAAGAGUAGGGCGGGACACGUGGUAUCCUGUCUGAAUAUGGGGGGACCAUCCUCCAAGGCUAAAUACUCCUGACUGACCGAUAGUGAACCAGUACCGUGAGGGAAAGGCGAAAAGAACCCCGGCGAGGGGAGUGAAAAAGAACCUGAAACCGUGUACGUACAAGCAGUGGGAGCCUCUUUAUGGGGUGACUGCGUACCUUUUGUAUAAUGGGUCAGCGACUUAUAUUCUGUAGCAAGGUUAACCGUAUAGGGGAGCCGAAGGGAAACCGAGUCUUAACUGGGCGUUAAGUUGCAGGGUAUAGACCCGAAACCCGGUGAUCUAGCCAUGGGCAGGUUGAAGGUUGGGUAACACUAACUGGAGGACCGAACCGACUAAUGUUGAAAAAUUAGCGGAUGACCUGUGGCUGGGGGUGAAAGGCCAAUCAAACCGGGAGAUAGCUGGUUCUCCCCGAAAGCUAUUUAGGUAGCGCCUCGUGAACUCAUCUUCGGGGGUAGAGCACUGUUUCGGCUAGGGGGCCAUCCCGGCUUACCAACCCGAUGCAAACUACGAAUACCGAAGAAUGUUAUCACGGGAGACACACGGCGGGUGCUAACGUCCGUCGUGAAGAGGGAAACAACCCAGACCGCCAGCUAAGGUCCCAAAGUCAUGGUUAAGUGGGAAACGAUGUGGGAAGGCACAGACAGCCAGGAUGUUGGCUUAGAAGCAGCCAUCAUUUAAAGAAAGCGUAAUAGCUCACUGGUCGAGUCGGCCUGCGCGGAAGAUGUAACGGGGCUAAACCAUGCACCGAAGCUGCGGCAGCGACACUAUGUGUUGUUGGGUAGGGGAGCGUUCUGUAAGCCGUUGAAGGUGUGCUGUGAGGCAUGCUGGAGGUAUCAGAAGUGCGAAUGCUGACAUAAGUAACGAUAAAGCGGGUGAAAAGCCCGCUCGCCGGAAGACCAAGGGUUCCUGUCCAACGUUAAUCGGGGCAGGGUGAGUCGACCCCUAAGGCGAGGCCGAAAGGCGUAGUCGAUGGGAAACAGGUUAAUAUUCCUGUACUUGGUGUUACUGCGAAGGGGGGACGGAGAAGGCUAUGUCAGCCGGGCGACGGUUGUCCCGGUUUAAGCAUGUAGGCGGAGGUUCCAGGUAAAUCCGGUACCUUUUAACGCUGAGGUGUGAUGACGAGGCACUACGGUGCUGAAGUGAUAAAUGCCCUGCUUCCAGGAAAAGCCUCUAAGCAUCAGGUAACACGAAAUCGUACCCCAAACCGACACAGGUGGUCAGGUAGAGAAUACCAAGGCGCUUGAGAGAACUCGGGUGAAGGAACUAGGCAAAAUGGUGCCGUAACUUCGGGAGAAGGCACGCUGAUA
rnacentral:rRNA from 1 species